rnacentral:rRNA from 1 species
GUGCAGCCGCCGCGGUAAUACCGGCAGCCCGGGUGAUGGCCGAUAUUAUUGGGCCUAAAGUGUCCGUAGCUGGCCGAACAAGUCCGUCGGGAAAUCCACGUGCUUAACACGUGGGCGGCCGGCGGAAACUGUUCGGCUUGGGGCCGGAGGACCCGAGGGGUACGUCCGGGGUAGGAGUGAAAUCCUGUAAUCCUGGACGGACCGCCGGUGGCGAAAGCGCCUCGGGAAGACGGACCCGACAGUGAGGGACGAAAGCUGGGAUCUCGAACCGGAUUAGAUACCCUUGUAGUCC